rnacentral:lncRNA from 1 species
UGGAAUGGUCAAUUUGAAGGAACCCGUGAGGUAAGGCUAUGCUCUUAUUUUGUCUGAUCAUUUUAUUGAAAUCUGAUUCUGCCCUAAUUUAAUUUUGUUUAUUUUUUAAUAUUUGUUCGUCCUUUUCUGAAAUUCAGUUUCAUUAGAUGCCUUUCUCUUCUCCGGUCAAUUGGUAUGUAUUCUUCAGUGAGUGUUUCUAUCUCUGUCUCACACACACAUUGACACAUAUAUGCUUGGCGUUUCUAGUCGAUUAAAGUGCGCAAAAUUAAUAUAUCUAACUCAACUUUUUGUGCAUUACAAGUUCCAGGAUUUGAGUAUUUAGAUAUAUUAAUUGUUACUUCAGAAGUAUAGUUUAGUGUCAAUUGUCUAGCAAUGCAUGGACCUAUAAGUGUAUAUAUAUAUAUCAAAUUCUUAUCAUGCUCUACUUUCUUUCUGUUUAGAUUUUUUAUAAAGACAUAAGUUUGAUUCUAUGUUGAUUUAGCUUUUUUGUGUAAGAAAUACUAUGAGUAUCUUGCUUUUUGUUAAAUUUUUUCAGUGAGGUUGAAAUGGAGUGUAUGUGCUUUCCACCCUCAACUCUUAUUAUUUAACUCUGGUUAACUUAUUAUAUGAUAGUAGCUGUGAAAUUAUAAAUUAACGUUAUCAUUGCAAUGUCAAGUAAUAAGUUCGGUUCUUAACUAGAUGGAUCUAUUUCUUUUAUUAGGCAUUGUUGUAUAUUGUAAAGAGUAUUGCUAAAAUCAGUAGGAGAAUUUUUUUUAAUUAUUGUUUUUCUGUAAAGUUGUUGGGGGUUGAAAUUAUUAAAGUUAUAUUGUAAAGUUUUUUUAAUUAUUGUAUAUUCCUUUUAAUUAUUGUUUUUUAAUUAUUGAUGUACAUGAAAGUCUAUUGCUGAGUUAGAUUGCUAAUUGGAUGCACAUUUUAUAUCAGGUUAUUUCCUACUAAUCCCUGCUCUUCACUAUUAAUCAGUUGUGGUCAUACUUUGUUAUAUCUUUAUUUCAAUUUCUAAAUUAUUUUUAUUAAGAAAAUAUAAUAGGCUAACAUGAAGAAUGGCUGUAGAAAAACAGUAUCUCUAAUAUUCCCAAUGAGUUGGUUCAUUUUGAAUGAGUAUAGUUUAUAUUUAUGUUACUUUUCUUAUGUUUUUACCUUAACUUCUGUUUGUUGAAAAAUGAACCUGUUACUUUCAAUGAGAAUUUCAAUGUAGAUAAAGUAUACUAUAUUAUUUUUUAUUCAAUUUCCUUCAGUUAGGUUAGGAUUGAAUGAUAAAUGAUUCUAUAGUUUUAGGGAUGAUCAGGUAUAUGUUCCAUCGAAGAAGUCAAGAAACAAGUUGUUAAGAUACUUCAAGAUGUUAGUUUUAUUGUAGAAACCAUCAAGGUAUGCUUACAUAUAGUGCAAAUUUUAUUUUCUUAACAAUAGAAUGUAUCUAUCUCUUUAUACUUUGAUCCAAUUUCUAGUAGUAGAUAUUGGUCUUGGUUUUGAAAUGUUUUCAUAUUAUUUUUGUUCUCAGGAUGACCGUUCUUAUUGGUCUAUCAAAUUCAGGAAAAACGACAAAUUUUAAAGUUGCAGCAAGAAGAAGGUGCUUGCCAUAUUAACUAAAGACACGGGUUGGAGAUUUUAUGCACAACAUGGCUUCAGAAGAAGAGUGCAACAUGCCAUCACUUUUUAGCACUAUAUAUAUUUUUUCUUUGAAAUUUUAGAUAUUUUUCUAAAUAGGUUGUUCGAUUAGUGCUACUAUAAAAGUUAAUGAAGUGAUGGACAUCUUGUUCCAAAUUUUUGGGAUCAUUGAUUUUUUUUAUUAUUAUUAAUAUAUGAUUUUUAUUGUAUUGGAUGUGUUUAAUUGUCAUUAUUUUUAUAUUUCCAAUUA